GACGUAGGGCGCGAGCGUUGUCCGGAUUUAUUGGGCGUAAAGAGCUCGUAGGCGGCUUGUCGCGUCGACCGUGAAAACUUGGGGCUCAACCCCAAGCCUGCGGUCGAUACGGGCAGGCUCGAGUUCGGUAGGGGAGACUGGAAUUCCUGGUGUAGCGGUGAAAUGCGCAGAUAUCAGGAGGAACACCGAUGGCGAAGGCAGGUCUCUGGGCCGAUACUGACGCUGAGGCACGAAAGCGUGGGGAGCGAACAGG
rnacentral:rRNA from 1 species